rnacentral:rRNA from 1 species
GACGAACGCUGGCGGCGUGCUUAACACAUGCAAGUCGAACGAAGUGGCGAACGGGUGAGUAACGCGUAAUCAACCUGCCCUUCAGAGGGGGACAACAGUUGGAAACGACUGCUAAUACCGCAUACUGAAGGAGGGGAUUGCGUCGGAUUAGCUAGUUGGCGGGGUAACGGCCUACCGAGGCUAUGACGCGUAACUUGUCUGAGAGGAUGAGCAGUCACAUUCGAACUGAGGCACGGUCCAAACUCCUGCGGGAGGCGGCAGUAGGGAAUAUUGCGCAAGGGGGGAGACCCUGACGCAGCAACGGCGCGUGGAGGAUGACACUUUUCGGAGCGUAAACUCCUUUUGUUAGGGAAGCGGUACCUAACGAAUAAGCACCGGCUAACUCCGUGCCAGCAGCCGCGGUAAUAC